CUUGUGAAAAAUGUUGGGGUUUGAACAUGAUUCGCUCACUUAAAUGUAUUGUUUGAUUGCUGUGUUGCAGUUUUCAUUGGAUGGUUUACUGGUUUCCCAAAGUGAUAAACAAUGGCGGAUCCAAGAACAUGAUUAAAGAUAUCCAUAUGAUGGCCAGGCUUCUGGCCCUCUGCUUCUUCGGGAUUGGCUGCCUGUCAUCAUCUGUGGUUGCAGAGUGCAAUUCAAGUCAGAUAAACGGAUCGGGACAAUGUGUUUCAGAGAA